rnacentral:rRNA from 1 species
ACGGGAGGCAGCAGUGGGGGAUAUUGCACAAUGGGGGAAACCCUGAUGCAGCGACGCCGCGUGAGUGAUGAAGUAUUUCGGUAUGUAAAGCUCUAUCAGCAGGGAAGAUAAUGACGGUACCUGACUAAGAAGCACCGGCUAAAUACGUGCCAGCAGCCGCGGUAAUACGUAUGGUGCAAGCGUUAUCCGGAUUUACUGGGUGUAAAGGGAGCGUAGACGGCAUGGCAAGUCUGAUGUGAAAGCCCGGGGCUCAACCCCGGGACUGCAUUGGAAACUGUCAAGCUAGAGUGCGGGAGAGGUAAGUGGAAUUCCUAGUGUAGCGGUGAAAUGCGUAGAUAUUAGGAGGAACACCAGUGGCGAAGGCGGCUUACUGGACUGUAACUGACGUUGAGGCUCGAAAGCGUGGGGAGCAAACAGGAUUAGAUACCCUGGUA